AGCGUACACGGUGGAUGCCCUGGCAGUCAGAGGCGAUGAAGGACGUGCUAAUCUGCGAUAAGCGUCGGUAAGGUGAUAUGAACCGUUAUAACCGGCGAUUUCCGAAUGGGGAAACCCAGUGUGUUUCGACACACUAUCAUUAACUGAAUCCAUAGGUUAAUGAGGCGAACCGGGGGAACUGAAACAUCUAAGUACCCCGAGGAAAAGAAAUCAACCGAGAUUCCCCCAGUAGCGGCGAGCGAACGGGGAGGAGCCCAGAGCCUGAAUCAGUGUGUGUGUUAGUGGAAGCGUCUGGAAAGGCGCGCGAUACAGGGUGACAGCCCCGUACACAAAAAUGCACAUGCUGUGAGCUCGAUGAGUAGGGCGGGACACGUGGUAUCCUGUCUGAAUAUGGGGGGACCAUCCUCCAAGGCUAAAUACUCCUGACUGACCGAUAGUGAACCAGUACCGUGAGGGAAAGGCGAAAAGAACCCCGGCGAGGGGAGUGAAAAAGAACCUGAAACCGUGUACGUACAAGCAGUGGGAGCACAGAGCAAUCUGUGUGACUGCGUACCUUUUGUAUAAUGGGUCAGCGACUUAUAUUCUGUAGCAAGGUUAACCGAAUAGGGGAGCCGAAGGGAAACCGAGUCUUAACUGGGCGUUAAGUUGCAGGGUAUAGACCCGAAACCCGGUGAUCUAGCCAUGGGCAGGUUGAAGGUUGGGUAACACUAACUGGAGGACCGAACCGACUAAUGUUGAAAAAUUAGCGGAUGACUUGUGGCUGGGGGUGAAAGGCCAAUCAAACCGGGAGAUAGCUGGUUCUCCCCGAAAGCUAUUUAGGUAGCGCCUCGUGAAUUCAUCUCCGGGGGUAGAGCACUGUUUCGGCAAGGGGGUCAUCCCGACUUACCAACCCGAUGCAAACUGCGAAUACCGGAGAAUGUUAUCACGGGAGACACACGGCGGGUGCUAACGUCCGUCGUGAAGAGGGAAACAACCCAGACCGCCAGCUAAGGUCCCAAAGUCAUGGUUAAGUGGGAAACGAUGUGGGAAGGCCCAGACAGCCAGGAUGUUGGCUUAGAAGCAGCCAUCAUUUAAAGAAAGCGUAAUAGCUCACUGGUCGAGUCGGCCUGCGCGGAAGAUGUAACGGGGCUAAACCAUGCACCGAAGCUGCGGCAGCGACGCUUAUGCGUUGUUGGGUAGGGGAGCGUUCUGUAAGCCUGCGAAGGUGUGCUGUGAGGCAUGCUGGAGGUAUCAGAAGUGCGAAUGCUGACAUAAGUAACGAUAAAGCGGGUGAAAAGCCCGCUCGCCGGAAGACCAAGGGUUCCUGUCCAACGUUAAUCGGGGCAGGGUGAGUCGACCCCUAAGGCGAGGCCGAAAGGCGUAGUCGAUGGGAAACAGGUUAAUAUUCCUGUACUUGGUGUUACUGCGAAGGGGGGACGGAGAAGGCUAUGUUGGCCGGGCGACGGUUGUCCCGGUUUAAGCGUGUAGGCUGGUUUUCCAGGCAAAUCCGGAAAAUCAAGGCUGAGGCGUGAUGACGAGGCACUACGGUGCUGAAGCAACAAAUGCCCUGCUUCCAGGAAAAGCCUCUAAGCAUCAGGUAACAUCAAAUCGUACCCCAAACCGACACAGGUGGUCAGGUAGAGAAUACCAAGGCGCUUGAGAGAACUCGGGUGAAGGAACUAGGCAAAAUGGUGCCGUAACUUCGGGAGAAGGCACGCUGAUAUGUAGGUGAAGUCCCUCGCGGAUGGAGCUGAAAUCAGUCGAAGAUACCAGCUGGCUGCAACUGUUUAUUAAAAACACAGCACUGUGCAAACACGAAAGUGGACGUAUACGGUGUGACGCCUGCCCGGUGCCGGAAGGUUAAUUGAUGGGGUCAGCGCAAGCGAAGCUCUUGAUCGAAGCCCCGGUAAACGGCGGCCGUAACUAUAACGGUCCUAAGGUAGCGAAAUUCCUUGUCGGGUAAGUUCCGACCUGCACGAAUGGCGUAAUGAUGGCCAGGCUGUCUCCACCCGAGACUCAGUGAAAUUGAACUCGCUGUGAAGAUGCAGUGUACCCGCGGCAAGACGGAAAGACCCCGUGAACCUUUACUAUAGCUUGACACUGAACAUUGAGCCUUGAUGUGUAGGAUAGGUGGGAGGCUUUGAAGUGUGGACGCCAGUCUGCAUGGAGCCGACCUUGAAAUACCACCCUUUAAUGUUUGAUGUUCUAACGUGGACCCGUAAUCCGGGUUGCGGACAGUGUCUGGUGGGUAGUUUGACUGGGGCGGUCUCCUCCUAAAGAGUAACGGAGGAGCACGAAGGUUGGCUAAUCCUGGUCGGACAUCAGGAGGUUAGUGCAAUGGCAUAAGCCAGCUUGACUGCGAGCGUGACGGCGCGAGCAGGUGCGAAAGCAGGUCAUAGUGAUCCGGUGGUUCUGAAUGGAAGGGCCAUCGCUCAACGGAUAAAAGGUACUCCGGGGAUAACAGGCUGAUACCGCCCAAGAGUUCAUAUCGACGGCGGUGUUUGGCACCUCGAUGUCGGCUCAUCACAUCCUGGGGCUGAAGUAGGUCCCAAGGGUAUGGCUGUUCGCCAUUUAAAGUGGUACGCGAGCUGGGUUUAGAACGUCGUGAGACAGUUCGGUCCCUAUCUGCCGUGGGCGCUGGAGAACUGAGGGGGGCUGCUCCUAGUACGAGAGGACCGGAGUGGACGCAUCACUGGUGUUCGGGUUGUCAUGCCAAUGGCACUGCCCGGUAGCUAAAUGCGGAAGAGAUAAGUGCUGAAAGCAUCUAAGCACGAAACUUGCCCCGAGAUGAGUUCUCCCUGACUCCUUGA
rnacentral:rRNA from 1 species